UGGCGCAAAGAAAAAACGCGGCCGGCUGACUAUUUUUUUCACCCAUGUCUUUUGCGCACUUGUUGUUUCCUGGGCGGGUUCGCCCGCCACCAGGACCAAACCAUAAACCUUUUUUUUAUGCAGUUGCAAUCAGCGUCAGUAAAAACAAUGUAAUUAUUACAACUUUCAACAACGGAUCUCUUGGUUCUGGCAUCGAUGAAGAACGCAGCGAAAUGCGAUACAUAAUGUGAAUUGCAGAAUUCAGUGAAUCAUCAAAUCUUUGAACGCACAUUGCGCCCUUUGGUAUUCCAAAGGGCAUGCCUGUUCAAGCGUCAUUUGUACCUUCAAGCUUUGCUUGGUGUUGGGCGUUUUUUGUCUCCCUCUUUCUGGGAGACUCGCCUUAAAACGAUUGGCAGCCGGCCUACUGGUUUCGGAGCGCAGCACAUAUUUUGCGCUUUGUAUCAGGAGAAAAGGACGGUAAUCCAUCAAGACUCUACAUUUUAACUUUGACCUCGGAUCAGGGAGGA
rnacentral:rRNA from 1 species